rnacentral:rRNA from 1 species
AGAAUCAACGCUGGCGGCGUGCCUAACACAUGCAAGUCGCACGAGAAAGGGUAGCAAUACCUGAGUAAAGUGGCGCACGGGUGAGUAACACGUGACUAAUCUACCCUCGAGUGGGGAAUAACUGAGAGAAAUCUUAGCUAAUACCGCAUAACACUUACGAGUCAAAGCAGCAAUGCGCUUGGGGAGGAGGUCGCGGCCGAUUAGCUAGUUGGCGGGGUAAUGGCCCACCAAGGCGAUGAUCGGUAUCCGGCCUGAGAGGGCGCACGGACACACUGGAACUGAAACACGGUCCAGACUCCUACGGGAGGCAGCAGUGGGGAAUUUUGCGCAAUGGGGGAAACCCUGACGCAGCAACGCCGCGUGGAGGAUGAAAUAUCUUGGUAUGUAAACUCCUUUCGAUGGGGAAGAUUAUGACGGUACCCAUAGAAGAAGCCCCGGCUAACUUCGCGCCAGCAGCCGC